rnacentral:rRNA from 1 species
GCCAGCAGCCGCGGUAAGACGGAGGAUGCAAGUGUUAUCCGGAAUCACUGGGCGUAAAGCGUCUGUAGGUGGUUUAAUAAGUCGACUGUUAAAUCUUGAGGCUUAACCUCAAAAUCGCAUUCGAAACUAUUAGACUUGAGUAUAGUAGAGGUAAAGGGAAUUUCCAGUGGAGCGGUGAAAUGCGUAGAUAUUGGAAAGAACACCGAUGGCGAAGGCACUUUACUGGGCUAUUACUGACACUCAGAGACGAAAGCUAGGGUAACAAAUGGGAUUAGAUACCCCAGUAGUCCUAGCCGUAAACAAUGGAUACUAGAUGUUGGACAGAUCGACCUGUGCAGUAUCAAAGCUAACGCGUUAAGUAUCCCGCCUGGGAAGUAUGCUCGCAAGAGUGAAACUCAAAUGAAUUGACGG